UUGCCCUAGUAACGGCGAGUGAAGCGGCAACAGCUCAAAUUUGAAAGCUGGCUCCGGCCCGCAUUGUAAUUUGCAGAGGAUGCUUUUGGUGAGGUGCCUUCCGAGUUCCCUGGAACGGGACGCCACAGAGGGUGAGAGCCCCGUAUGGAUGGACACCAAACCUGUGUAAAGCUCCUUCAACGAGUCGAGUAGUUUGGGAAUGCUGCUCAAAAUGGGAGGUAAAUCUCUUCUAAAGCUAAAUACCGGCCAGAGACCGAUAGCGCACAAGUAGAGUGAUCGAAAGAUGAAAAGCACCUUGAAAAGGGGGUUAAACAGUACGUGAAAUUGUUGAAAGGGAAGCGUUUGUGACCAGACUUGCGCCGGGCAGCUCAUCAGGGGUUCUCCCCUGUGCACUCUGCCCGGCUCAGGCCAGCAUCGGUUCUCGUGGGAGGAUAAGAACGGUAGGAACGUGGCCCCCUCUCGGGGGGGUGUUAUAGCCUGCCGUACGAUACUCCCGUGGGGACCGAGGUUCGCGCUCCGCAAGGAUGCUGGCGUAAUGGUCAUCAACGACCCGUCUUGAAACACGGACCAAGGAGUCGUCCAUUAGAGCGAGCGUUUGGGUGUCAAACCCGCACGCGUAAUGAAAGUGAACGCAGGUGAGAGCUUCGGCGCAUCAUCGACCGAUCCUGAUGUCCUCGGAUGGAUUUGAGUAAGAGUUUUAACGGACGGACCCGAAAGACAGUGAACUAUGCUUGUAUAGGGUGAAGCCAGAGGAAACUCUGGUGGAGGCUCGCAGCGGUUCUGACGUGCAAAUCGAUCGUCAAAUAUGAGCAUGGGGGCGAAAGACUAAUCCG
rnacentral:rRNA from 1 species